GUUUCACAGGUUUCUCUCCCUUCUGAGCAACGGCAGGUGAGUCAGGGUCGCUUGUGCUCCCCUCCAGCUCUGGGAUGUAUGCUGUCCAGCUGGUUACGAGUCUCCAUGGCAUCCGAGGAAAAGUGGAGCUGGCUGAAGGGAGGUGGAAAAGAAGGGCAACAAAUUCCAGUUUCUUGUGAAACUUUGUAAACGUAAGGCUCUUAUCUCAGUCUGCAGAGCAGAAACAGGGUGAGGGCCAUGGAUCUGAAUGUCUCCACCUGUGCAUAAAACAUAUGAUUAGAGCUGAAGACCUAGAAGUCCCUUCCCCAGGCAGGGCAUGAACUCUUCUGUUUCUAGAACCAUUUAGGGAGGUGACAACUUGGCUUCGUCCCAGAGAUUCAGGUGAGGACAGAACAGAGGGCAGGGUGUUCUUGCCCUGAGUUCCCCGCUAAUGAGCUAAUCCUGGCCCUUCACCUUUGUUUGGCAUGAAGUUUACCAGAAAAGGGCAUCCUGCCUUUAUCCUUGGUUCUCUAUACCCUCGCUACUUUUCCUGUGUUUUGUAAACACGGGAUGGUGUAUUUAGCUUUCUUUUGCUGGAAUUAUUUUCACCCCAUGUCCUGUGUCUUCCUUGUCCAGAAGAAAUCAUCUUCUAGCCUAAGAGCUCCAGAGAAGGGUGUGCAGGGGACGGCCAUGUUCUGAUGCAUGCAUUCAGCUGUGUCGAACAGUCUUCCUGUUUUGCUACUGUCUGAGAAUAUUCUUUUCAUUCUGUGGGCUCCUGGGCCUGGGCUUUCCUUGGCUUAUCUCAGGAAUCUGCCUCUUGGUCCCUUUCAUUGGCUGCCUUCUAUGUUUAGGUUUGUAGGGGAAGGCCCCUGGAAGGUGGGUGGGAGAAGAGGCACCUCUCAGGAGAGGCUGAGGCGCAAAGAUGCUCUUGUCCACUCAAGUCCAUAUUUAUUUAUCUUCUAAUAUACUUUGUUUGUUAGUUUGUAUGCUUGUUUGUUUUGAGGGUCUCCUUCUGUUACCCAGCCUAGAGUGCAGUGGUGCCAUCAUGGCUCACUGCAACCUCAAUCUCCGAGCUCAAUUGAUCCGCUUGCCUCAGCCUCCUGAGUAGCCAGGACUACAGGUGAAUGCCACCAUGCCUGGCUAAUUUUUUUUUUUUUUUUUUGUAGAGGGUUUUUUCCUGUUGCCCAGGCUGGUCUCAAACUCCUGGUCCCAAGUGAUCCGCCUGCCUUAGCCUCCCAAAAUGCUGGGAUCACAGAUGUGAGCCACCCUGCCUGGCCUUCUAAUAUAAUUUGGAUAUUCCAUGGAUAUUCCCACCUUGAUCUACAUUAGGAACUUCCUGGAGGCUUGUGCUCAAGAGAGGUAGUAUCUGCUUGCUCAGCAAGCAGAGGCUGAGUAAGUGCAGGACUCUGAAUAUGGUUGUGCAGCAGAGUUGUGGGUAUUUGUGGGGACGUUGACCUCAGGCCCAGCAUUUAGAUUUAGCUAGCAGACAUGCCUGGGCAGCUAAACUGGCAAUGUCAGACCAAACUGCCUGGCCUGAUAUUGCCAGGCAGUUUAGCGUAUCAGGGCUCUGCUUAGAAGCCACAAUGCCAAGGCCUCAUGACCAUAUUCUUCCACCCUUGAGAAUCUUGUCCACCUUCAUAUCCCUCCAUUCCUCACGCAUCAUGUCCUGGGUGGGUGCCCUGACACCUCAUUCUCACCUCCAUCUCCUUGCUCACUCAUGUUUUCCAGGUUGUACUUGAGAGAGCCUAGGCCUUAGCGGUAGAGUUGGUUUCAAGUUGCUGCCCUCCCAUCCCCUGGAAUGUAACUGGCUUUCUGGGACUUAGUUUUUUUCAUUUGUAAUGCCUGCCUUGUAGUCCCAUUGUGAAAAUUAAUCAAUAAUUUGUUUUGAGGGUCCAAUAUGUGGCAGGCAUUGUGGUAAGCUUUAGGGCAGGGGCAUAAAGACCAGUUAAGAUUUCUCCUUUUUAAAACUUUUAUUUUUUUGUAGAGAUGGAGUCUUGCUAUGUUGCCCAGGCUGAUCUUGAACUCUUGGCCUCAAGUAAUCCUCCUACCUGGGCCUCCCAAAGGAAUUACAGAAUGAGCCACCAUGCCUGGCUUAUCCCUCUUUUUGAAUAGCUUUUGGUUAGUGUUAAGAGGCAGGUUCAUAAACAUAAUUUCAAAAUAAUGCGUAAAUGCUAAGAUAGAGGUAAGCCUUAGGAGUACAAAA
rnacentral:lncRNA from 1 species